CAGCAGCCGCGGUAAUACAGAGGGUGCGAGCGUUAAUCGGAUUUACUGGGCGUAAAGCGUGCGUAGGCGGCUUCUUAAGUCGGAUGUGAAAUCCCUGAGCUUAACUUAGGAAUUGCAUUCGAUACUGGGAAGCUAGAGUAUGGGAGAGGAUGGUAGAAUUCCAAGUGUAGCGGUGAAAUGCGUAGAGAUCUGGAGGAAUACCGAUGGCGAAGGCAGCCAUCUGGCCUAAUACUGACGCUGAGGUACGAAAGCAUGGGGAGCAAACAGGAUUAGAUACCCCGGUAGUCCCUGUCUCUUAUAC
rnacentral:rRNA from 1 species